rnacentral:rRNA from 1 species
AGCGGAGGAAAAGAAACCAACCGGGAUUGCUUAGUAACGGCGAGUGAAGCGGCAAAAGCUCAAAUUUGAAAUCUGGCGUCUUCGACGUCCGAGUUGUAAUUUGAAGAAGGCGACUUUGUAGCUGGUCCUUGUCUAUGUUCCUUGGAACAGGACGUCAUAGAGGGUGAGAAUCCCGUGUGGCGAGGAUCCCAGUUAUUUGUAAAGUGCUUUCGACGAGUCGAGUUGUUUGGGAAUGCAGCUCUAAGUGGGUGGUAAAUUCCAUCUAAAGCUAAAUAUUGGCGAGAGACCGAUAGCGAACAAGUACAGUGAUGGAAAGAUGAAAAGAACUUUGAAAAGAGAGUGAAAAAGUACGUGAAAUUGUUGAAAGGGAAGGGCAUUUGAUCAGACAUGGCGUUUGCUUCGGCUUUCGCUGGGCCAGCAUCAGUUUUAGCGGUUGGAUAAAUCCUCGGGAAUGUGGCUCUGCUUCGGUAGAGUGUUAUAGCCCGUGGGAAUACAGCCAGCUGGGACUGAGGAUUGCGACUUUUGUCAAGGAUGCUGGCGUAAUGGUUAAAUGCCGCCCGUCU